rnacentral:lncRNA from 1 species
UAAAUUCUUUAAUUUUAUAGACGGUUUUGAUUUAAGGUUAGAUCCAAGCGCACUAACCAACUUCUGCUUCGUUCAUCGUUGUUGUUGCUUCGACUUCUCUCUUAUAAUGUGGCUAUGAAACUCUCCUUGAACUCUCUAAUAAAAACCCUAAUAGGAAAAAUCGUAAACAUCAAUACCACCUUUUAUCCCCCUCUUCUUUCUCACAACCAUCAUCAUCUUAACGUUGGUACACCAUACGCUCACAACAUUCUUCAGUCUCUUUUUUAACCACCAUCAAUCUUGAUUUUGUUCUGUCUUUAAAAACCUGAUGGUUGCUCCCCCUAUCUUCUCUAUUCAAAACCCCAAUUUGUUCACAACCCACAACCAUAUCAAUAUCAGCUAAUGGUGUCAGAGUUGAUCAAACCCAUAAAUCAAUUCCAUUAAUGUCUUCCAUGAUUUAUGAACUUGCCGAUUCUCCUUAAAAAUCUGACUUUGUAGCUCCUCAUCCUCUUCUUCAUCUUCUACACACGAAUCAAGCAGGUAAUAGGUUUUUUACUUUUCAAUUAAUCCUCUUCUUCAUUUUGAAAUUGGCUGGAGCAUACACAUAGGAAUUGUAGCUGUUUGGGGUUAUUAUUUUAGAUUUGACCAUGUUUUCGUCUCUCAUAUAGACACAAAUGAAUAUCAUCAGGUAUGUUUUUGCAUUCAAACUUUCUUUGCGAACAUAAAAUUUAUAUUGACAACUGUUUUGGGUUUAUUAUUCCAUAUAUGACUAUGGUUUCUCUCUCACACACAUACACCCAAAUGGAUAUCAUCGUCUAUAGUAUUACUCAUCCUCUCUCAAUUUCUCUUUCUCUAUCAAUUAAGGGAUUAAUUGAUUUCACUUUGGUCUUUGAAAUCUAAAUUCUGCAAAUAAUGAGUUGCAUGAAACGUCAUAGAUUCGUUUUGAGAUCCUUUAUUAUCAGAAGAAAUAGACAAAAAUACGAGAGGCUUGGUCUUUUACCUCCCAUUAUAAAUUUAAAAUUUGUUAGUUUUUGGCUAUCUAAAAUUAUAUUUAUCAUUUACUAAUUAAUACAAUUUGCCAACUUUUAAAAAUUCAAAAGACUAUUAGGGUGGUCAACCAAGGUAAUUUGCACUUGACUUUGUUUUUUAGAGUUGAUAUUUUUCUUUUUCGUGGUAUAUGAACUUUGGGUUAUUUUGGUCCAGGUUGGAUGUUUGUUGGAUUCAAUGUUGUUUUAGUGCAUUCAACUUUUAAUAAUUACCUUAUUAUAUUUCUUUACUACAAUAUUCUUAGAUUUCUUUUAAUAUCUCAAGGAUUUGUAUAUUCUUACAAGAUCAAAACUUGUGGUAGCAAGUAUUGCUUGCAAUAUAGCAAUAUGGGACAAAGUUGCAACAUGGCAUCAAGUGUGAUCCGAUCUAUAUGUGUGUCUAUGGGAUCUGAUUUGUAUGUAUGUGCGUAUGCCAUUUGAUCUAUAUGUGUGUGUGAGAGACCUGAUCUGUAUGUUUGAGUAUGAUCUCAUUUGUGUGUCUAUGUAUAUCCUUAUUACUUGCCUCCUACUGUUGAAUCUUGAGUUUCUGAUCACAUGCCCCUAAUGAAGAGUAUGACCAUUUUUUAAAAACCGAUGCUUAUAUUCUAUUACAGAGUGAAAAAAAUCUGUUUUUAAUAGUGAAAUAAACAUUUAAAAAAUUCUUGCAAUUUUUUGACAGGCGGUGUACAUUAUAGUGAAUAAAGUUGAUAUUUUGGAUUUAGUGAUGGAAAUAGGAAAAGACUACCGGGAAAUGAGAACUGAGAAGUA